GCUGUUAUAUUCUAAGUUUACCGCGCAUGCGCCACAUCAUGGUAACUAGUAAAGAUUAAUUUCAAUGGUGAUAUCUUCUCCAAACAUUUGCUCCGCCGUUAUUUUCUUUUGUCAUCUUCUACUUUCGUCCGCCAUCUUUUUUUAUUAUUCUUUCAUUCGUCCUCGAACCGAUCCUGAUACACGACAUUGGCUUUAGCAGUCCGAUAUCGCUACCACUAAACCACUUGCUCGUUGUUGGAAGCCUACCGCAACUUAUUCACCUUAACCUUUUUUCUCUACCUCGUGUAAUUAAC